rnacentral:rRNA from 1 species
GUUGUUGGGUAGGGGAGCGUUCUGUAAGCCUGUGAAGGUGUACUGUGAGGUAUGCUGGAGGUAUCAGAAGUGCGAAUGCUGACAUAAGUAACGAUAAAGCGGGUGAAAAGCCCGCUCGCCGGAAGACCAAGGGUUCCUGUCCAACGUUAAUCGGGGCAGGGUGAGUCGACCCCUAAGGCGAGGCCGAAAGGCGUAGUCGAUGGGAAACAGGUUAAUAUUCCUGUACUUGGUGUUACUGCGAAGGGGGGACGGAGAAGGCUAUGUUGGCCGGGCGACGGUUGUCCCGGUUUAAGCGUGUAGGCUGGUUUUCCAGGCAAAUCCGGAAAAUCAAGGCUGAGGCGUGAUGACGAGGCACUACGGUGCUGAAGCAACAAAUGCCCUGCUUCCAGGAAAAGCCUCUAAGCAUCAGGUAACAUCAAAUCGUACCCCAAACCGACACAGGUGGUCAGGUAGAGAAUACCAAGGCGCUUGAGAGAACUCGGGUGAAGGAACUAGGCAAAAUGGUGCCGUAACUUCGGGAGAAGGCACGCUGAUAUGUAGGUGAAGUCCCUCGCGGAUGGAGCUGAAAUCAGUCGAAGAUACCAGCUGGCUGCAACUGUUUAUUAAAAACACAGCACUGUGCAAACACGAAAGUGGACGUAUACGGUGUGACGCCUGCCCGGUGCCGGAAGGUUAAUUGAUGGGGUCAGCGCAAGCGAAGCUCUUGAUCGAAGCCCCGGUAAACGGCGGCCGUAACUAUAACGGUCCUAAGGUAGCGAAAUUCCUUGUCGGGUAAGUUCCGACCUGCACGAAUGGCGUAAUGAUGGCCAGGCUGUCUCCACCCGAGACUCAGUGAAAUUGAACUCGCUGUGAAGAUGCAGUGUACCCGCGGCAAGACGGAAAGACCCCGUGAACCUUUACUAUAGCUUGACACUGAACAUUGAGCCUUGAUGUGUAGGAUAGGUGGGAGGCUUUGAAGUGUGGACGCCAGUCUGCAUGGAGCCGACCUUGAAAUACCACCCUUUAAUGUUUGAUGUUCUAACGUUGACCCGUGAUCCGGGUUGCGGACAGUGUCUGGUGGGUAGUUUGACUGGGGCGGUCUCCUCCUAAAGAGUAACGGAGGAGCACGAAGGUUGGCUAAUCCUGGUCGGACAUCAGGAGGUUAGUGCAAUGGCAUAAGCCAGCUUGACUGCGAGCGUGACGGCGCGAGCAGGUGCGAAAGCAGGUCAUAGUGAUCCGGUGGUUCUGAAUGGAAGGGCCAUCGCUCAACGGAUAAAAGGUACUCCGGGGAUAACAGGCUGAUACCGCCCAAGAGUUCAUAUCGACGGCGGUGUUUGGCACCUCGAUGUCGGCUCAUCACAUCCUGGGGCUGAAGUAGGUCCCAAGGGUAUGGCUGUUCGCCAUUUAAAGUGGUACGCGAGCUGGGUUUAGAACGUCGUGAGACAGUUCGGUCCCUAUCUGCCGUGGGCGCUGGAGAACUGAGGGGGGCUGCUCCUAGUACGAGAGGACCGGAGUGGACGCAUCACUGGUGUUCGGGUUGUCAUGCCAAUGGCACUGCCCGGUAGCUAAAUGCGGAAGAGAUAAGUGCUGAAAGCAUCUAAGCACGAAACUUGCCCCGAGAUGAGUUCUCCCUGAC